AAGAAAAAAAAAUUAAUGGAGGUUUAAGGAGCACCUACUUGAAGCUCUUGUGCUCUGAUUACCACUUGAUGGAAGCUUGCUUGUGAAGAUUUUAUAGAGGCUGGAUCUUUGAGCUCCAAUGAGGUCCUUCAAUGGUGAUUUUUCACCAUGGAGAUGCAGCGGAAGGCAAAGGAGAAGAGGAGAGGGGAGGCACCAUCCACUAGGGAAUAAGCCAAGGAAGAAGGAGCUUCACCACCAAGAAUUGC
rnacentral:lncRNA from 1 species